GAGGGUAAAGCUCAAGUGGUAGAGCACAUGCUUAGCACGCAUGAGGUCCUGGGUUCAAUCCCCAGCACCUCCU
rnacentral:tRNA from 1 species